rnacentral:lncRNA from 1 species
CCACACCGGAGUCCCCGGGACAGGCAUGCCCACCGCCAUCAACAACCGGAAAACUGGACAAAGCACACGAGGCAGCUGUCUCCAGACCUCAGGCUGCAGGCACUGAGCAUGCUGCCCGGGGAGCUCACUGCGUGCACAGCUGUCUCCCUGAGCUGAGACGACGGAGAGCCGAGGUCGCGGAGGCAGAAUGUGCAAGGUGCCUGGAGGUGGGGUGCACGGUCUCCCCGAAUCCCAGCACCAAGUCAUCUCCUGCAGCAGCAGCAGCCCCAGCCUCAGGACCCCCCGUCACCGAGAUUCCAGCAGAACCGUUGGAAAGCCACCAGCUCGCCCUCAGAAACAGAUGAGGUCAAGACUGAAGCAAGUCUUCUGGAAGACCGAAAAAGCCUCAGAGUCGGCCAACGUCGGUGACAACCCCAGGCACACCCAGCCCCAUGGGGCACAGCCCCACGUGCGGGCCAGAGAAGACCCUGGGGUCUGGGUGCCCACCACUGGUCAGGGCCCCCCCCACGGUGCCACGAGCGGGGACGCAGGGCACACAAAUCCCAGCCCGGAGGCAAGAGACAGCCGUUCAACAGUUCACUGA